UACAGAGGGUGCGAGCGUUAAUCGGAAUUACUGGGCGUAAAGCGUGCGUAGACGGUUAUGUAAGUCAGGUGUGAAAGCCCCGGGCUCAACCUGGGAAUUGCAUUUGAGACUGCAUAGCUAGGGUGCGGAAGAGGGAAGCGGAAUUUCCGGUGUAGCGGUGAAAUGCGUAGAUAUCGGAAGGAACAUCAGUGGCGAAAGCGGCUUCCUGGUCCAGCACCGACGUUCAGGCACGAAAGCGUGGGGAUCAAACAGG
rnacentral:rRNA from 1 species